AAUUAAACAAACGUAUAGAGCAAGUAAGUAGCAGUGAAAUAUA
rnacentral:guide_RNA from 1 species